UGGGACUAAAGGCAUGUGCCACCACU
rnacentral:piRNA from 1 species